CGCAACUUCGGCGCUGAAUGUUCAGUCGUCAUUUUGACUAUUCGGUUCAACGAUUUUAGACAAAACGAGAGAGAGCGCGCAGUCUACUCUUAUAAGAAAACCAACCUUUUAUUUGAUCAAAGUAAGAAGCCUCUAAAACAAGGUAUUCCUCGGUCACUGGCGGAGUAUGAAACGAAAUUUGAUGGUCAACAGAGUUUAUAACAAACCUGGCCAUCAGAACAGAUUUCAAAGCUGACCUUUCGAGCAUUUCCCUUCGUCAUAGCGAAAAGGAUGAAAGAAGCGUUGUGGAUGAGACCUCUACAGUUCCAGCUCAAGCAGCCGGUAAUUCACACAAAGAAGAACCAAGUGGAGUCCAGGAAACAGGUUGCCACCCUGAUCAGACAGCAAAGUAGCUACAUAUUUUCAAUGAUGUAGUGACCUUUUGCAGCAAAAAUGGGAGACAAGGAGCACAUUAUGGAACCAUCUAAACAUCAACAUUCCUUGGAUGAACAUGGAGUGGGUGACGGAAAGAAGAAGGAACUUUGUCAACCUUCUCCAGAAGACAAAAAGCCACCACAGCUCGACUUUGAGCUGCAAAAGACUGGUGAUAUUCUAAUAUCCACAGAAACGUGGAGUGAUGAUCAUUUGCCAAUUUAUAUUUUACUAUUGGCCGUGGAGAGCUGUGAUUUCUUGAGCUGUUU